AUUGAACGCUGGCGGCAGGCCUAACACAUGCAAGUCGAACGAGUGGCGGACGGGUGAGUAAUGUCUGGGAAACUGCCCGAUGGAGGGGGAUAACUACUGGAAACGGUAGCUAAUACCGCAUACCAUCGGAUGUGCCCAGAUGGGAUUAGCUUGUAGGUGAGGUAACGGCUCACAUAGGCGACGAUCCCUAGCUGGUCUGAGAGGAUGACCAGCGACACUGUGACGUAUACACGGGCGAGACUCCUACGGGCGGCAGCAGUGGUGAGUAGUGCAAAAUGGGCGCAAGCCGUAUGCAGCCAUGCCGGGGGUAUGAAGAAGGCCUUCGGGUUUUAAAGUACUUUCAGCGGGGAGGCGUUACCCUCAGAUGAAGCACCUGCUAACUCCGUGCCAGCCGCCGCGGUAAUAC
rnacentral:rRNA from 1 species